rnacentral:lncRNA from 1 species
AUGGGUAUGUCAUUGUUACCAAUAUAUAGAUGCUGUAGUCGAAUCUAGGAUUUCAAUGAAAUGAACUCCUUUUUAUAAUACAUAGAUUAUUUUUGUUGGGCCAUUAGUUGAAGUGUCUUCCCCCUUUUUGUACUCGCUUUCCCUUGUUCAUAUUCUUAUUGUUGACUUCUUUACAUGGUAAAUGUUAUUAAGGGAAACCUUUGUAUUAGCCAUUCUGCUGGAUUUAUCUUAACAAAUAUCAGAUACAUGCUGGAUAAGGAAUGUUGAGGUGGUUUGGUAAUUGGACAGUUAUUAUAAUGUACCUGGUCUGUAAUGAAAAAUUUNAGAUACAUGCUGGAUAAGGAAUGUUGAGGUGGUUUGGUAAUUGGACAGUUAUUAUAAUGUACCUGGUCUGUAAUGAAAAAUUUGUCCUAUUGUUGUCCCAAAUUGCACAUCUUCAAUUCCAAGUUCUUGUAUAUUGGUGAAUUGCACGUGUUACUAAUGUUAUUAGCUUCUCAAUGUUCUCACCUUCUCGAUAUGGGUUCAUAAUUCUGAACAACGAGAGAAGCGGAUGGAGCUCCCCCCACAAUCCAAAUUAACCCCGUCACCACACCACCACCCAAUCCAGCCAACACCGAUACCUACCGGCACUGAUGACGACCAGCUGUCCGGUAGGCACCACAUAACCGGCCUCACGCCACAAAUCAGCCCCUCCAGCCACUACCUUCACACACAGGCGGCGGUCCAUGGUGGAAACCCUAGCGCCACCCUCGG